GGAGCCGUGCCUGAAUUAAAGGACCAUUUUGAUAUGAUGGCUCAUGAAGGUUAAAACCCCUCCGACUCCU
rnacentral:tRNA from 1 species